AACGAACGCUGGCGGCAGGCUUAACACAUGCAAGUCGAACGGGUGCAGCAAUGCAUCAGUGGCAGACGGGUGAGUAACACGUGGGAACCUUCCUAGGGGUACGGAACAACUCAGGGAAACUUGAGCUAAUACCGUAUACGUCCGUGAGGAGAAAUAUUUAUCGCCCGUAGACGGGCCCGCGUCGGAUUAGCUAGUUGGUGGGGUAAUGGCCUACCAAGGCGACGAUCCGUAGCUGAUCUUAGAGGAUGAUCAGCCACACUGGGACUGAGACACGGCCCAGACUCCUACGGGAGGCAGCAGUGGGGAAUCUUGGACAAUGGGCGCAAGCUUGAUCCAGCCAUGCCGCGUGAGUGAAGAAGGUCUUCGGAUUGUAAAGCUCUUUUGCCAGGGACGAUAAUGACGGUACCUGGAGAAUAAGCCCCGGCAAACUUCGUGCCAGCAGCCGCAGUAA
rnacentral:rRNA from 1 species